UUCGUAGUAAAUCCUCAAUAUAUCAUCCUUGCAUUCAGACUUCUUGGUUAAUUGAUCCACAAUGAGCAUGGAAUCCCCAAAAAUUUCCACCGCGUCGACCUUGACCUCCCUCAAUAAUUGAAUCCCUUUUAGAACAGCUCGGUAUUCCGCUUGAUUAUUAGUAGCAGAUGCUUAAAUUGGCAGAGAGAAAUCAUAACUUGCCCCCCGGGGUGAUAUGAGGAUGAUGUCGAUUCCUGAUCCGGCC
rnacentral:lncRNA from 1 species